UACGUAGGGGGCAAGCGUUGUCCGGAAUCAUUGGGCGUAAAGAGCGUGUAGGCGGCCCGAUAAGUCCGCUGUGAAAGUCCAGGGCUCAACCCUGGAAUGCCGGUGGAUACUGUCGGGCUCGAAUCCGGAAGAGGCGAGUGGAACUCCUGGUGUAGCGGUGGAAUGCGCAGAUAUCAGGAAGAACACCAACGGCGAAGGCAGCUCGCUGGGACGGUACUGACGCUGAGACGCGAAAGCGUGGGGAGCGAACAGG
rnacentral:rRNA from 1 species